GAAAGUAAAGAAGGGCGCAUGGCGGAUGCCUUGGCUCUCGGAGGCGAUGAAGGACGUGAUAAGCUGCGAUAAGCUUUGGGGAGGUGCAAAUGACCUUUGAUCCAGAGAUUUCCGAAUGGGACAACCCAAUAUCUUGAAGAGGUAUUAUCCAACGUUGUUGGAGGCUAACGCAGGGAACUGAAACAUCUUAGUACCUGCAGGAAAAGAAAAUAAACAAUGAUUCCCCCAGUAGUGGCGAGCGAACGGGGAACAGCCCAAACCAUCCAUGUUACGGCAUGGGUGGGGUUGUAGGACUACGUCGUUGCAUGAAGACAUCAGAGAAGAACUUUCUGGAAAGAAAGACCAUAGAGCAUGACAGUUGCGUAUUCGAAUGUUGUCGAAGCAUAGUAGUAUCCUGAGUAGCGCGGAGCACGAGGAAUUCUGCGUGAAUCUGCCGGGACCAUCCGGUAAGGCUAAAUACUCCCGAGAGACCGAUAGCGAACCAGUACCGUGAGGGAAAGGUGAAAAGCACUUCGAACAGAAGAGUGAAAUAGUUCCUGAAACCGUGCGCCUACAAGCGGUCGGAGCUCGUUAAUGAGUGACGGCGUGCCUUUUGCAUAAUGAACCUACGAGUUGCCUUUGCCGGCAAGGUUAAGUGUGACGACACACGUAUCCGAAGCGAAAGCGAGUCUGAACAGGGCGUAUAGUCGGCAGUGGCAGACGCGAAACCAAGUGAUCUACCCUUGGCCAGGUUGAAGGCUGGGUAACACCAGCUGGAGGACCGCACCAAUAAGCGUUGAAAAGCUUCUGGAUGAGCUGAGGGUAGGGGUGAAAGGCUAAUCAAACUUGGAGAUAGCUCGUACUCCCCGAAAUGCAUUUAGGUGCAGCCUUGCGGGUUACUGAUGUGAGGUAGAGCGACUGAUAAGAUGCGAGGGCUUCACCGCCUAUCAAGUCUUGACAAACUCCGAAUGCGCAUCAGUUCUACCGCAGGAGUGAGGGCAUGGGUGCUAAGGUCCGUGCCCGAGAGGAGAAGAAUCCGGACCACCUGCUAAGGUCCCGAAAUGACAGCUAAGUUAAACUAACGAAGUCUGACUGCUAAGACAGCUAGGAUGUUGGCUUGGAAGCAGCCAUUCAUUUAAAGAGUGCGUAACAGCUCACUAGUCGAGGAGUCGGGCGUGGAUAAUAAUCGGGUAUUAAGUUGUCUACCGAAGCAGUGGGAUCAUUAAUAUGAUCGGUAGGGGAGCAUUCCAGUCAGCGUCGAAGGCGUACCGUGAGGUAUUCUGGAGCGUCUGGAAAAGCAAAUGUAGGUAUAAGUAACGAUAAAGGGGGCGGGAAACCCCCUCGCCGAAAGACUAAGGUUUCCUGAUCAACGCUAAUCGGAUCAGGGUCAGUCGGGUCCUAAGGCUCAGCCGAACGGCGAUGCCGAUGGCAGAAACGGUUAAUAUUCCGUUACUACCUUCAGGAGUGACGUGGAGACGCAGUAGUGACAGUGCCGCCAUCUGACGGAAUAGAUGGUUGAAGGGUGUAGGAGUCGAUCAUGGCAGGCAAAUCCACCAUGAGAUCCGAACCUGACAGUAUGCCGCGUCCUUCGGGACAAGGCAAUAGUGCGCGUAAGCAUGCUGCCGAGAAAAUCCGCUAAACUUAAUCCUGCAGGUACCCGUACCGCAAACGGACACACGUAGUCGGGAUGAAUAUUCUAAGGCGCUUGAGUGAUUCACGGUUAAGGAACUAGGCAAACUGACCCUGUAACUUCGGGAUAAAGGGUCCCUACCCUUUUAUGGGAGGGCGCAGAGAAUCGGUCCAGGCAACUGUUUAACAAAAACACAGGGCUGUGCCAAAUCGAAAGAUCCAGUAUACAGCCUGACACCUGCCCGGUGCUGGAAGGUUAAGAGGAGAUGUCAUCGAUAAGAGAAGCGUUGAAUUGAAGCCCCAGUAAACGGCGGCCGUAACUAUAACGGUCCUAAGGUAGCGAAAUUCCUUGUCGGGUAAGUUC
rnacentral:rRNA from 1 species